rnacentral:rRNA from 1 species
CCUACGGGGGGCAGCAGUGAGGAAUAUUGGUCAAUGGGCGGAAGUCUGAACCAGCCAAGUAGCGUGCAGGAUGACGGCCCUACGGGUCGUAAACUGCUUUUGCACGGGGAUAACAUGCUCCACUUGUGGAGUUUUGCAGGUACCGUACGAAUAAGGGCCGGCUAAUUCCGUGCCAGCAGCCGCGGUAAUACGGAAGGCCCGAGCGUUAUCCGGAUUUAUUGGGUUUAAAGGGAGCGUAGGCCGGCCGUUAAGUCCGCUGUGAAAUCCCGGGGCUCAACCGGGGCACUGCAGUUGAAACUGGACGCCUUGAGUGCACAAGAGGCAGGCGGAAUUCGUGGUGUAGCGGUGAAAUGCUUAGAUAUCACGAGGAACCCCGAUUGCGAAGGCAGCCUGCCGGGGUGCGACUGACGCUGAGGCUCGAAGGUGCGGGUAUCAAACAGGAUUAGAUACCCCAGUAGUC